AUUACAUUAUAUUUUUAUUGUUUCCCACCUUUAGACGUAUCAGACAAGUACCUAUAUCACACCUAUAUCAACUAAAACUGUCACUGUUACAGUGGCAGUUGCCAAACUCGUCCGAUACGUCUAAAGGUGGGAAACAAUAAAUAGAAUGUAAAUUUAUAGGUUUUUAUCGCUAAAUUUCUAACCUCUACUAGUUUCAUUUCUUUUUAUCUCACAACUUAAUAUGUUUUUCAUCUCUUGCGUUAUUUGGCCGGUUAUAUUAGCGCCAACAUCACUGUAUAGAAUGAGGCGUUGACAAAUACUCCGGUCAACUUAAGCAUCCGAGGCUACAAAAAUUACCAUCAAGCUGAAAAUUGGCAGGAUUGUUCAAAAUACCAUCAUAAAUGAAAUCUAAAAAGUCCUCAUAAAUCCGACCCCUGCUAAAAAUUUUACGCGGGGUCAAAGGUCACCAAAUAUUGUUUUUAGCGAUUUUCAGCGAAACGGUAAGUUUUAUCGUAAAAUUAGUUCUAACAAAAAAUGUAGAUUAGAUAAUUAUCUAGAAAUAAUGCCUUAUUACUUUUUUCCUGAGAGCCACCGUUUUUGAGAUAUAACGAUUCAAAAAGUGGUAAUCGUCAUAAUAUGCGCACACGUUUCCACACCACUUUUGAGGUAGUGUACUUAACGCGUUUUUUUAACGUGGUUUCCCCAGUAGGCCUAUUCCACGGAUCUGUUAUGAUUCUGUUUAAUUUAAAGCUAUUUAAUAAUUGAUAUUGGCAAGGGUUAAAAAUGAUAAAAGUUAUAUAAAGCGGUAUAAAUUAAAAAAAAAAGGGAAAUUUAUCAAACUGGUUCAUAAUUUUCUAAUACUUCUGCUUCCCUUGUUCUUCUUCUCAUUGUUAUUCUUCCUCUUCUUCAUCUUCUAGUUUUUCUUCUUCUCUUUCAUCUUGUUCUUCUUCUUCUUCUUGUUCAUCCUGGGUGCAAGUAAAUUCCCUAACAACACACAACAUUCCAGGAAUGUACUACCAAAGUUCUAUCAAUAUUUGAAUGUCCUGGACAUUUAGGGAACAUUCGGUGAACAUCUGUUUAAAUUAUUCCUGGAAUGUUACCAUAAGACAUUCUGUGAACAUACUACCAAUGUUCCUAUAUUUUAAGUUGCGAAAUAAUACAUACGUGUAAGAGAUACAACAUUACUUAUAACAUACUAAACAAACAAAGUGACAUUUUAGGCCUACAGUGCAAUAAUAUGUCAAAUUUAAAGAGUUUCCCAAGAUUAUAAACAUACAAAUGUAAUAAAAAUUAUUGUUCGCGAAUAUUCAAUUUGGAAUGCGAUUUUGUUAAUAAAAAAAAUACUUAUAACUUAUGCAAAACCCAAGAGAGGCAUUUAUAUUUAUUUCUUUUGCGUUCAUUUUCAAAUUCGCCGUGCAUAUAUUUUUGUGCAUGGCGCUUGAGAGGGCAUCACGUGACUAAAAACGACCAACCAACGACCUCGCUUCGGCCAUCUUGGCAUCUUCAUCUUGGCGACCUUGCCUUGCCGUGGAUUGUUUUUAGUUGUUUGUAUUAUUUGUGCUUUUUAAGAAUAUUUUUUUAAUUCGGAUACUUUUAUAAUAGCUUUAAUAGUAUUAUUAACAUAGUGCAUAAAAUGGUGUCCUGUUUUUAACGCAGUUGGAGUAGCAGAAACAAAUGUAGAUAAAAAAAUCUGCAGGAAUAACGUUUCAAUUAUGACAGAAGCUCAAAACAAAUGACUGUGAAUGAAAAGCCCUAUUAAAAGCUUUCCAGAAGAUCCUGCGAAGAAGACAUGAAGUAUAGAUCAGAUUUGUUAAUAGAGGAGUAUGUUCAAAACACUUUUUAGAAAAAGAUAUUGACAGAACUUCACUUUCAUCUGUUCGUUUGAGAGACUGUGCUGUUCCAAUAGCUUAUGUCACACAGAAUCAGCUGAGAGAAGUGGUCUACAAAAAACCAGAAAGGAAACGGAAUAUGUGGCUACGAAAAGCAAAAGAAAGGUUUACAAAGCAAAUGUGACACAUUUUUUUAUAAUAUUUAGGAAUGUCAGCAAAUUACAUUAAAAAAUGUAUGUAAAGAUUUUUUGCAAUAAAAAUGUUUAUAUUUAUCAAGGAUGUAUUAUUUGGUAUGGCCAUAUAUCGUCAGUGAUGUGACAGUACCUCCUAUCUGUUUUUUUCAAGAGAUUUGUAAGAUAGACUAAAAACUUGUUUCGGCCACCUCCUGUUUUCAUAUAUUUUUUGACUUGUUUUGCAGUAAAUUCAACUAUCUAUUUACUACAAAAAAAGUCAGAAUACGUACGAAACCAGAAAGUGACCUUAAAAAAUGUUUUUCGUCUCCUGCAAACCUCAUGAAAAAACAUAUAGGAGGUAUUGUCACAUUACUGACGAUAUAUUUCAGUGA